rnacentral:rRNA from 1 species
UACGUAGGGUGCAAGCGUUAAUCGGAAUUACUGGGCGUAAAGCGUACGCAGGCGGUGAUGUAAGACAGAUGUGAAAUCCCCGGGCUCAACCUGGGAACUGCAUUUGUGACUGCAUCGCUGGAGUGCGGCAGAGGGGGAUGGAAUUCCGCGUGUAGCAGUGAAAUGCGUAGAUAUGCGGAGGAACACCGAUGGCGAAGGCAAUCCCCCUGGGCCUGCACUGACGCUCAUGCACGAAAGCGUGGGGAGCAAACAGG